rnacentral:rRNA from 1 species
UACGAAGGGGGCUAGCGUUGCUCGGAAUCACUGGGCGUAAAGGGUGCGUAGGCGGGUUUUUAAGUCAGAGGUGAAAUCCUGGAGCUCAACUCCAGAACUGCCUUUGAUACUGGAAGUCUUGAGUAUGGGAGAGGUGAGUGAACUGCGAGUGUAGAGGUGAAAUUCGUAGAUAUUCGCAAGAACACCAGUGGCGAAGGCGGACUCACUGGCCCAUUACUGACGCUGAGGCUACGAA